rnacentral:rRNA from 1 species
GACGAACGCUGGCGGCGUGCCUAAUACAUGCAAGUAGAACGCUGAAGGAGGAGCUUGCUUCCCUGGAUGAGUUGCGAACGGGUGAGUAACGCGUAGGUAACCUGCCUGGUAGCGGGGGGUAACAAUUGGAAACGAUAGCUAUUAUAGCAUAAUAGAAGAUGUUGCAUGACAUUUGCUUAAAAGGUGCAAUUGUAUCACUACCAGUUGGACCUGCGUUGUAUUAGCUAGUUGGUGGGGUAAAGGCUCAACAAGGCGACGAUACAUAGCCGACCUGGGAGGGGGAUCGGCCAAACUGGGACUGAGACGACGCCCAGACUCCUACGGGAGGCAGCAGUAGGGAAUCUUCGGCAAUGGACGGAAGUCUGACCGAGCAACGCCGCGUGAGGGAAGAAGGUUUUCGGAUCGUAAAGCUCUGUUGUAAGAGAAGAACGAGUUGGGGAGGUGAAAGUUCACACUUUGACGGUAUCUUACCAGAAAGGGACGGCUAACUACGUG